rnacentral:lncRNA from 1 species
ACUCUACAUUGGCGGUGGUGGAGGCUGCCAUGGCUGAGGCUGUACGUAUGAUGAGGAAUGAAUCACAUGGUCAGUUUUCCUUUCCGUCCGCCGCUGUAUUCACUUCCGCUUCAUUCGUAUUGGUUGCAUGGUGGUGGUUGAGCCCGCAUUGGUGGUGGUGGGGAUGCCAUGAUAAGGGAUGAACCACGUGCUCAGUUGUCCUUCCUGUUCCGCUACAGAUGCCGCCACCACAUUCAUCUUCGCUGCAUUCACUUCAAUUGCUGAGAGUUUUCUAUGGUGAUUUUGUAGGAGAG